rnacentral:lncRNA from 1 species
CUCUCCUCCCGGGUCUGCGCGGACGCGGCCUCCUUACCUCAUUUGUCCUCGCCCCUCCCCGUCCCUCUACGCGUUUUGGUCCCUGUUUGGUGCUUUCUGUUUGCAGCUACGGCAAUCUGGGCAUAGGAACCAAUCAGAAACAAUCGCUUCAGCAAUCAAGACCAUUGUUCAUCAUGGAGGAACCCAUGGAUACCUCUGAGCCUCUAUCUGCAUUACCAUUCACUGGGCAGCAGUCUUUUGAGCCAAGUGGCAAAUUUGGACAGUAUCCAUCGAUGCAGAUGAACCACAUCCAGGCACUGGGGAAGUGGAGGACAUAGAACAGCUCAAUCAGUGUUUGAUCCAACACUUCCAUCUCAUUAAGACAAGUUUGAUUUUUCUUUGCUUUUUAUUUCAUGGAAUACAUGAGAAUCUCUUAACUGUUGGAGUUUCCAAGGAGGCAUACCUCAUGACUUCAGUUAAUGGAAAGAACAAAACUAAAAUGCUGUAUGGCCAAAGCCACAAAGGGAAGGAUCCACAAUUUACAUUCUUGGAGCUAUCAUCUGUACUGUACUGUUGUGAUCUACUGAUUGGCAUUGGCAUAGUAGUAGGGGUCAAGUGAC